CACAGCCCCGCGCCCCGGGCGCCUGCUACCACAGCGGCCGCCCGGGGAGGAAGAGGAGGAGGAGAAGGACGAGGGGGGAGGUGACAAACUCCGGCUCGGCGCGGCGGCAGGCAGCCCGCGGUCAGGCAUGCAGGCGCGGCGUCUAGCCAAGCGCUCCAGCCUGGGCAGCCGCCGGGGGAACGCUGCGCUGCAGCCGCCAGGCCCCGCGCCCGCCCGGGAAGGCGCGCUGCCCGGGCUCCCGCCCCCCGCCCCAGCCCCGGCCCCGGCCCCGGCCCGGGAGAGCUGGAGGCCGCCACUGCCGCCGCCGCGCAGCGCCGGGACCGGCCCCCCUCGGGCCAACGGGGCCGCCGCCGCCUCGUCUCCGGUGCUGCUGCUUCUAGGGGAGGAAGACGAGGACGAAGAGGGCGGGAGCAGGCGGCGGAGGGGGCUCGGGCGGGUGCAGGCGAAGCCCCGAGGGGGCGCGGAGGAGGAGGAUGACGACGAGGAGGACGAGGACGAGGAGGUGGUCGUCGAGGUUGUGGACGGCGACGACGACGACGAGGACGGCGAGGAGCGCUUCGUGGCCCUCGGCCCCGGCCGCCAGCUCCCCAAGGGCCCGGGCCGGGGAGCACUGAAGGUGGGCAGCAUUAAGCGGGAAAUGGCCUUCACAUUUCAACCAGAGGACUUAAAACGUGACUCUAGUAAAAAACUGUCUCAUCAACACUUGUUCCCCUUGGCCAUGGAGGAGGAUGUGAAAACAGCAGACACCAAAAAAGUCAACCGAGCCCUUGACCAUGAAAAAGAAAACACUCGCUCCAUCUGUCUCCUUGAACAAAAACGAAAAGUUGUUUCUUCCAAUAUUGAUGUUCCUCCAGCAAGGAAAUCUUCAGAGGAACUGGACAUGGACAAGGUGACAGCAGCGAUGGUACUAACCAGCUUGUCCACCAGCCCUUUGGUUCGGAGCCCUCCUGUACGGCAGAACGAGGGCCUGAGCGGAUCGUGGAAGGAGGGAGGCGGCGUGCCUUCCAGCACGAGCAGCAGCGGCUACUGGAGCUGGAGCGCCCCCAGCGACCAGUCCAACCCGUCCACGCCGUCGCCGCCGCUGUCCGCCGACAGCUUCAAGCCCUUCCGCAGCCCCGCGCCCCCGGACGAUGGCAUCGACGAGGCGGAGGCCAGCAACCUUCUCUUUGACGAGCCCAUUCCCAGGAAACGAAAGAACUCCAUGAAGGUGAUGUUCAAAUGCCUCUGGAAGAACUGUGGGAAGGUUCUGAGCACUGCAGUGGGUAUCCAGAAGCACAUCCGGACCAUUCAUCUCGGGCGUGUUGGGGAGUCUGACUACAGUGAUGGAGAAGAAGACUUUUACUACACUGAGAUCAAGCUCAACACAGACUCGGUGGCAGACGGACUGAGCAGCCUGGCCCCGGUUUCACCCUCCCAGUCCUUGGCUUCGCCUCCUACUUUCCCCAUCCCAGAUUCCAGCAGAACAGAAACUCCUUGUGCCAAAACUGAGACAAAAUUGAUGACACCCUUGAGCCGCUCUGCUCCCACCACCCUCUACCUCGUGCACACCGACCACGCUUACCAGGCCACGCCCCCUGUGAACAUUCCAGGAUCGGCCAAGUUCACCCCCAAUGGCAGCAGCUUCAGCAUUUCUUGGCAGUCUCCUCCAGUUACCUUCACAGGCAUUCCAGUGUCACCAACCCACAGUCACCCAGUGGGCACAGGAGAGCAGAGACAGCACACUCACACCGUCUUGUCCUCCCCACCCAGAGGGACAGUCAGCCUAAGGAAGCCCCGGGGAGAGGGCAAGAAGUGCCGGAAGGUGUACGGCAUGGAGAACCGUGACAUGUGGUGCACGGCCUGCCGCUGGAAGAAGGCCUGCCAGCGGUUCAUUGACUAAUGCCCAGGCCCCUCAUCGCCGCCCAGACGCUCCUGCCCUUGACUUGUGCUGAGGGUGUUGGAAAGCGCUUUUCCUUCGGAACAAAACACACGUGAAACCCAGGAAAAGCACUUCCGAGAACCUUGGUGAAAUCACAGCAAAAAACAAAAAAGAUCACCACCCUCACUGUUCUUGCUGAGAACCCAGCCGAGAGCAGCUGUAACUACUUUUUUCCUUAAAAAAAAUCAACUUUUUUUUUUUUUUUUGCUGUAUGUCUAGCUCUGAAAACUGUGGACUUCUGUAGCAAUCGAACCAACCAAGCCCAUUUUUCCCGGAAAGGAGGCCUAUUUUGAUAACCUUUCUGGAUAAUGCCGUUUCUGAGGUUUGUUUUUUGUGGGUCUUUUUGACACUUAAAAAAAAAAAGCUACAUGUUACUCAGUAGCAUUUGUACAAAGAGCGAUACCUGUUUUCAUUGUGAAUAGUCUUUUGCCUGUUCUCCAUCGGACUUCUGGGAGCAGUACACAUCCUGAUGUCUUGCCAGCAAACGGCAGCACUCUGGGUAUCUUUUCUAUGGUCUCUUUUGUUUGUUUGUUUUGUUUUAAAGAAUGCCCCCAAACUGAACCACGGUAGAUCUGUUAGCUUGAAGGGCCCAGGAGGGCAUAAGCUUGAAAAGAGAUUGACGAUGGAUAUCACCAGCAGACUUCAGCCCCAGCUGAGUUCAGGACAUCCCGCUGUCACGGCUGGGAAACGUCUGGAAGUCUUCCUCGGAAGCCUUCCCUGAGGGGUGGCCUGGCCCCCUCUCUCCCGGCCACAUGCACUCAAGACCUGGCACGCAUUGCCAUCUGGGUAAGCCUCAAAGCUUCCUUCAGGGAUGCAACGCCAACCAUGGCUCGGAUCUCUUCAGCACUGCUUAUCUGACAGUUGUUGCCAGUGAACAUGAUACCAUUUCAACACAAAUUGCCAUGAACUGGACAGUACCGACUUUUUGAGGCGGGGAGGAAUGCUCUAGGAAACAGAACGGUUUCUUUGUUUCUUAGACCUGCAUUCUAAGGCUGACAUCUGAACCACAGCACAGUCCCUGGUGGGUUUUCACAGACUCAUGUCAGGCUGUUUGUGAAUGUAAUUAUGAAUAUGACACCUUGGUGUUCCCUUUUAUAAUCAGCCGGUUGGAUGACUGGUUAUUAGCUGUACACAGAAUUCUAUAGGUGAGGGAUGUGAAAGAUGUGCAUUUUACUUGAACAGCAGGUUAAGGAGCAAACUUCCAUGGACUUUUGUGGACAAGGUGCUGCUUUUUCUCAUGACCCUGUAGAAUUUCUGUCAACCACAUCAACUGUAGCUCUGACCUGUAUGAACGCAGGGGAGAAUUUGUGCAUACAAAUGAGUGGAAACAGAGCACGAUUCAUGAAUAUGGAUGAGGAUGUGGAUCGUUUUGGAGAAAGCGCUGGGCACACGGGUCAACUGGAAAUUUCAUUUCUCUAGGAAAAUAACCCAACCAGCAGCAUACAAGCUUUCCCUGUUCCCCACACCUGUGGGAAUUCCUCCAGAGCGGAACUGUUUCCUUCUGUCUUUUUCAUUGUAACUAGUCAAACCCGGAAGUCAGUAAAUAAAACGAGCUUAGCACUUUUAGGUACCAAUUGUAUCACUAAGUAAUGCACACCACUAGAGCAAGAAAGUGUAAAAUGCAUUUAAAACCGACUGGUUUGCUUAUUGUGACUGACUUUGAAAAAGUCCAGAUCCAAUCAAUGAUAUACAUGCUUUAAAAGGUGUAUCUAUCAUAGGACCAGAAAUCAAAACGGGAAUUUUACUCUGGUCCUGUUCUGUAAAUAGUUCCUUUUUUUUUUUUAAGACAAUCUCAUGUUUUAUAACUUUUCUUGUGAGUCUGAGAAUCACGAUGGUAAUGUGUUGUGUCAAAAUGUAAUCUUAAAUACAGUAAUAAUUAUAACUUAAUUUUCCAAAUAAGACAAGAAAUAUACUGCGUAGGCUUCUACAAUUCUGAGAGAUGUGACACUUUUAUAAUAAGCAUUAGUACUUCUCAAGUUAACAGAACUGGAAAUAUUUUACAAGAUGCAGUGUUUUGUAAUCACAAAGAACAUGAACAUUUUGUGGGAAAUGACCUUGGUUUUGUACAUUGUAGCUUAUUUUUUAAAAUACAAUAUUUUACCAGACAGGAAGUGUUAAUAUUAUAAGCAAUUCCUGCUCUCCAAACAAAGGGCUAUGCCUCUUUUAAGCAAGCGUUCUGAUGCAUAUCUUUUCAAUUAACCCUCUGCAGCAAGGGUAGAAAUGCAGAUCAGAUUGAAGAUUAUUACAAGAGAAUCAAGAUGGCAACAGCUACUCCUUUGAUCUUUACCAGUGUGUUUUCAAAGUAUUUUGGGGGAAAAAAAAAAAAAAAAAAACUUUAAGAAUCAUCUUAUGUAUCUUAAAUCUUUAAAAUGUUAAUAGAUAUGCUUAUAGUCAAUGGGAGAAAUAUACUUGUAAAUUCUUUAGCGUAAAAUGAUAGAUUCCUGUCACAGGGACAAACUUAUUCCUCAACCUACCAGAACCACAAAGCUGCUUUUAACUAGCAAGUAUCAUUUGAUGGAAAUUUCUAAAAUCAUGGUGUGUAAGCCCAAAGAUAGAAUUCUUAGGUGAUCAGUGAUGUUUAAAAUAAUUUUGUCCUCAGCACUAACUAAAUAACUUUAAAUUCCUUACCAGAACAAGUGCUUGAUUUUUCACAUGAAGAAUUCACAGACAGGCGAGUCUGAGAUCAGAAAGUCACUGUAUUCCCAAGAGUCGGGAAACAAGGAAGGCAGCCAUGGAGAGUUGAUUAACCGUAGAAAUAAUUUUGAGCUUUGCCAAAACCAUUUCAUAAUGCUCUACAGUUUUUUCUAGCCCACUCGCUGUUAAAGCAAGAAAGCAUCUUUUCUUUCUAAGAUGUUGGUAAUUCAAAGGCUAGACUAAUUAGUCAAGUAUGCAGAUAACAUCAAAAGAAAAGCUGGGAUAGAAUGGUCGUACACCCGUUGGGCAACCCCUAUCAGGUGGUCAGAGGGUCGCUCUGACUUUGCUUUCUAACAGGCUUUAGAAUCUGCACACAUGAGGGCUAGAAAUGCAUGGAGUUAGGGGAAAAUGUGUACAGCCUCAUCUCUGAGAUGAAGCAGCCCAAAUCUCUAUCUUCAUUCUCUUGGAAUAUCUCUAAUGUUGGCAUUAAAAGUUCCCAAGAAGUGUUUAUUGCUGCAUGGUUUUGAACCAAAUGAGUCUUGCUUCCUAUUUCCAUAGAAGCCUCCUAAUCCUUUCUAAGCAGAUGCCUUGGAAAGAACAGGCAGAUUCUGUAAAUGAGUGAUUCAGAUCAGGCAGAAGAAGGACCCUAAAGAAUGACGGAGAUCAUGGUGAACCAGAGGACACCCCCCCCCCUUUAAAGGGGGAUCCCAGCUCUAGACAAUCAGAACCAUGCAGAAAUCAGGCCUGGGGCUGCUAGAUCUUCUGACUUGGAAAUAUAAUGUUACCUGACACUUAAGCUAAACUCAGAUUCUUGGCCAACCAUGUGCAGACCAAAGACACCAUGUAUGUGGGCAGAUGCAGCCUUUGGCCACCAGUUUCAACUGUUGGGAAAAGCAGAUUUCACCUUCCAGAGCCAUCAGGUCAAGUUCUUCCAUCAGCCCUACAAACUCACACAUUGGUACCAUCUGGGCAACUAAGAUCUAAGGAGGGAAAGAGGCCAGUUCUCCCCAGAAAUCAUUCUCAUGGAAGACUUGAAGAUAAAAAUACAAUAUCCUUAAACUAGCCUUGCCUCUGAUCAAAAUAUACUGAAGCGUUAUUCAGCUGUCACUCU